rnacentral:rRNA from 1 species
GUGCCAGCAGCCGCGGUAAUACGGGGGUGCUAGCGUUGUUCGGAAUUACUGGGCGUAAAGCGUAUGUAGGCGGUUUGUUAAGCGGAAUGUGAAAUCCUCAGGCUCAACCUGAGAACUGCAUUCGGAACUGGCAGACUUGAGUACGGAAGAGGGAGACAGAAUUCCAGGUGGAGGGGUGAAAUCCGUAGAGAUCUGGAAGAAUACCAGUGGCGAAGGCGGUCUCCUGGUACGUUACUGACGCUGAGAUACGAAAGCGUGGGGAGCAAACAGGGUUAGAUACCCUGGUAGUCCACGCCCUAAACGAUGGAUACUGGAUAUUGGAAAGAUCUCUUUUCAGUAUCGAAGCUAACGCGUUAAGUAUCCCGCCUGGGGAGUACGAUCGCAAGAUUAAAACUCAAAGGAAUUGACGG